rnacentral:rRNA from 1 species
CCUACGGGGGGCUGCAGUGGGGAAUAUUGGGCAAUGGAGGAAACUCUGACCCAGCAACGCCGCGUGAAGGAUGAAGGUUUUCGGAUUGUAAACUUCUGUCGCGAGGGAUGAAGAAUGACGGUACCUCGUAAGAAAGCCCCGGCAAACUACGUGCCAGCAGCCGCGGUAAUCCGUAGGUGGCAAGCGUUAUCCGGAUUGACUGGGCGUAACGGGUGCGUAGGUGGUUUAGUAAGCUGGCGGUGUACGUCCGGGGCUCAACCUUGGUGCUACCGCCAGAACUAUUAGACUAGAGUGCAGGAGGGGUAAGUGGGAUUCCUAGUGUAGCGGUGGAAUGCGUAGAUAUUAGGAGGAACAUCAGGGGCGAAGGCGACUUACUGGACUGUAACUGACACUGAGGCACGAAAGCGUGGGGAGCAAACAGGAUUAGAUACCCGAGUAGUC